rnacentral:misc_RNA from 1 species
AACGCUGUGGACCAACACAUGACUGAAAUUGGAAAAUAAAAACACCAAAACGAUGGCACCUAAAAGAAAACAACAAGACCAGAACCACUCUGUGAAGAAAAAGAAACAAAAAGUCAGAGAGGAUAUUGUCCUAAAACCGACAAUAUCAUCGGAAGAUAUUCCCAAAACACAGACUAAAUGGACUAACAAGGAAAGAGUACUAGUUUUUUCAUCUCGAGGAAUAUCAUACAGGGGUCGCCAUUUAAUGAAUGACAUGAGGACCUUGAUGCCCCAUGCAAAAUCAGAAUCUAAAAUGGAUAAAAAAGAUCAACUCUUUGUCAUCAAUGAGAUGUGUGAGAUGAGAAAUUGUUCAAAAUGUAUUUACCUGGAAGCAAAGAAGAAGCAGGAUCUUUACAUGUGGUUAUCAAAUGUACCAAGAGGCCCCUCUGCCAAAUUUCUUGUAGAAAACUUACACACAAUGUCAGAGUUGAAGAUGACAGGCAAUUGUCUGAAGGGGUCACGACCUUUGCUCUCAUUUGAUCAAGUAGGUUAAAACAUGCUUCAUAAAUCCAAUAAUGGAAAUAGAAACUUUAUUCAGUAGGGUUGGAAAUGAUUACUACCAUGGACAAUUGUGAAAGUGGUAUUUUUUUUAUUUGGUUUCUAUUAUGUUUGCAGACUACUGGGUAUUUAUUAACUCAAACCAUAUUUUGAGCACAAUUUCUUUUGAAAAUCAAAAGUAGAGUCUUGAGCAAAUGACUAGAUUUUAUGCAGUAAAUAUUUUGUCCAGGAUUUUUUUUUAGACAACAGUAAAUAAAAUGAUACAGUAGAGAUGUAAUUUUCACAUUAUUGGAUAUGGUGAUAGAUGAGUACAAUUAGUGAAAUUUGACUUUUAUUGAUGAGGACAGACACUAAGUGGAAAUCUUUGAUGCACAAAAAUAUAAAAAUUCAUUUCAGGAGUUUGACAAAGAAGCACACUGGAGUCUCAUUAAAGAACUAUUAAUACAGACAUUUAGUACCCCAAACCAUCAUCCCAAGAGUCAGCCAUUCUUUGAUCAUGUAUACACAUUCUCCAUCGCAGACAACCGGAUCUGGUUCAGGAAUUACCAGAUACUUGAGGAGGAUGGUUCUUUGGCAGAAAUCGGACCCCGGUUUGUUUUGAAUCCUAUCAGAAUAUUUGAGGGAAGUUUUGGAGGGCCAACACUCUUCCAGAAUCCUCACUAUGUAUCUCCUAAUGAUCUGAGGCAUCUGAUGAGGAAGAGAGGUGCCCAAAAAUAUAUGUCCAGGAUUCAGGCCAAGAAAUCGCUGGAGAUGAGACGCGGUCAGCCGUCUUACGAAACAGACCCAACAGACGAUGUGUUUGUCACGAUAAGACCCGAGGACGCUGAGGAAGAUUCUUGAUAAAUAAAUUAGAAACUUUC